rnacentral:rRNA from 1 species
CAGCCCCUCGAGUGGUGGGGAUGAUUAUUUGGCCUAAAGCGUCCGUAGCCGGCCGGGUAAGUCUCCCGUUAAAUCCAUCGUCUCAAGCGUUGGACUGCGGGAGAUACUGCCUGGCUAGAGAGUGGGAGAGGUCAGCGGUAUUCUUGGGGUAGGGGCGAAAUCCUUUGAUCCCCGGAGGACCACCAGUAGCGAAGGCUGUUGACUAGAACACGUCUGACGGUCAGGGACGAAAGCUGGGGUAGCGAACCGGAUUAGAUACCCGAGUAGUCC